AUUGAACGCUGGCGGCAGGCCUAACACAUGCAAGUCGAACGAGUGGCGGACGGGUGAGUAAUGUCUGGGAAACUGCCCGAUGGAGGGGGAUAACUACUGGAAACGGUAGCUAAUACCGCAUACCAUCGGAUGUGCCCAGAUGGGAUUAGAUAGCAGGUGGGGUAACGGCUGACCUAGGGGACGAUCCCGAGAUGGUCUGGGAGGAUGACCAGCCACACUGGAACUGAGACAGGGUCCAGACUCCUACGGGAGGCAGCAGUGGGGAAUAUUGCACAAUGGGGGCAGGCCUGAUGCAGCCAUGCCGCGUGUAUGAAGAAGGCCUUCGGGUUGUAAAGUACUUUCAGCGAGGAGGCGUUACUCGCAGAAGAAGCACCGGCUAACUCCGUACCAGCAGCCGCGGUAUAC
rnacentral:rRNA from 1 species